rnacentral:rRNA from 1 species
GCAAGUCGAGCGCGCCCUUCGGGGUGAGCGGCGGACGGGUGAGUAACGCGUGGGAAUAUGCCCUUCUCUAAGGAAUAGCCUCUGGAAACGGAGAGUAAUACCGUAUACGCCCUUCGGGGGAAAGAUUUAUCGGUGAAGGAUUAGCCCGCGUAAGAUUAGAUAGUUGGUGGGGUAAUGGCCUACCAAGUCUACGAUCUUUAGCUGGUCUGAGAGGAUGAUC